rnacentral:tRNA from 1 species
GGGAGUGUAGCUCAAAUGGUAGAGCGCUGGUUUUGUACGCGAGAGGCACGGGUUUAUCCCCUCGCAUCUC